GGUAUUGCUCUCCCACAUUGGGGCGAGGAACCCAUUGAUUUAAUGAAUAUGGCUGUUAGAAAAGAUUCCAGUAGAUUUAUGACAAGAAAAUAUGAGUUGUGUGUGACGUUGGAUACUCCCGGAUUUCCUCCCAAUGUUCGCAAGGCAACGGCAGAUGUCAUCUUGAUGUUGGUGAAUCAAAUGCUUGAAAAGGGAUCAGAUGAUACAAAAGCCCUAAGUCGGGCUAUAAGUAUCUAUAGUGGUCUCAUAUUUUUUCCAUGGUGUUUCCAAAGAAGAUUUUGAUGCCAGGUGGAAAAGUUUUCAAUUUAUAAAGGAUGCAUUAGCAAAUAAAUUAACGAGGAACAAGCAGCAUAUACGAUCGCUCUUGAUAGAGAGAGCAGUUCUUCAUCAAGAAAGUCGCGUUUUAGAAAACAGCACUGUGCAUCUAACUGAAACCCAUAGUAAAAUCAUGAUAAGUUUACUGCAGUUGUCAACUAGCCAGUAUAGUGGGGUAAGUUUUGGAGUUCUUUUCAUACUUUAUUUUC